GAGCGAACGGACGAGAAGCUUGCUUCUCUGAUGUUAGCGGCGGACGGGUGAGUAACACGUGGAUAACCUACCUAUAAGACUGGGAUAACUUCGGGAAACCGGAGCUAAUACCGGAUAAUAUUUUGAACCGCAUGGUUCAAAAGUGAAAGACGGUCUUGCUGUCACUUAUAGAUGGAUCCGCGCUGCAUUAGCUAGUUGGUAAGGUAACGGCUUACCAAGGCAACGAUGCAUAGCCGACCUGAGAGGGUGAUCGGCCACACUGGAACUGAGACACGGUCCAGACUCCUACGGGAGGCAGCAGUAGGGAAUCUUCCGCAAUGGGCGAAAGCCUGACGGAGCAACGCCGCGUGAGUGAUGAAGGUCUUCGGAUCGUAAAACUCUGUUAUUAGGGAAGAACAUAUGUGUAAGUAACUGUGCACAUCUUGACGGUACCUAAUCAGAAAGCCACGGCUAACUACGUGCCAGCAGCCGCGGUAAUACGUAGGUGGCAAGCGUUAUCCGGAAUUAUUGGGCGUAAAGCGCGCGUAGGCGGUUUUUUAAGUCUGAUGUGAAAGCCCACGGCUCAACCGUGGAGGGUCAUUGGAAACUGGAAAACUUGAGUGCAGAAGAGGAAAGUGGAAUUCCAUGUGUAGCGGUGAAAUGCGCAGAGAUAUGGAGGAACACCAGUGGCGAAGGCGACUU
rnacentral:rRNA from 1 species